rnacentral:rRNA from 1 species
GAUGAACGCUGGCGGCGUGCCUAAUACAUGCAAGUCGAGCGAACGGACGAGAAGCUUGCUUCUCUGAUGUUAGCGGCGGACGGGUGAGUAACACGUGGAUAACCUACCUAUAAGACUGGGAUAACUUCGGGAAACCGGAGCUAAUACCGGAUGAUAUUUUGAACCGCAUGGUUCAAAAGUGAAAGACGGUCUUGCUGUCACUUAUAGAUGGAUCCGCGCUGCAUUAGCUAGUUGGUAAGGUAACGGCUUACCAAGGCAACGAUGCAUAGCCGACCUGAGAGGGUGAUCGGCCACACUGGAACUGAGACACGGUCCAGACUCCUACGGGAGGCAGCAGUAGGGAAUCUUCCGCAAUGGGCGAAAGCCUGACGGAGCAACGCCGCGUGAGUGAUGAAGGUCUUCGGAUCGUAAAACUCUGUUAUUAGGGAAGAACAUAUGUGUAAGUAACUGUGCACAUCUUGACGGUACCUAAUCAGAAAGCCACGGCUAACUACGUGCCAGCAGCCGCGGUAAUACGUAGGUGGCAAGCGUUAUCCGGAAUUAUUGGGCGUAAAGCGCGCGUAGGCGGUUUUUUAAGUCUGAUGUGAAAGCCCACGGCUCAACCGUGGAGGGUCAUUGGAAACUGGAAAACUUGAGUGCAGAAGAGGAAAGUGGAAUUCCAUGUGUAGCGGUGAAAUGCGCAGAGAUAUGGAGGAACACCAGUGGCGAAGGCGACUUUCUGGUCUGUAACUGACGCUGAUGUGCGAAAGCGUGGGGAUCAAACAGGAUUAGAUACCCUGGUAGUCCACGCCGUAAACGAUGAGUGCUAAGUGUUAGGGGGUUUCCGCCCCUUAGUGCUGCAGCUAACGCAUUAAGCACUCCGCCUGGGGAGUACGACCGCAAGGUUGAAACUCAAAGGAAUUGACGGGGACCCGCACAAGCGGUGGAGCAUGUGGCUUAAUUCGAAGCAACGCGAAGAACCUUACCAAAUCUUGACAUCCUUUGACAACUCUAGAGAUAGAGCCUUCCCCUUCGGGGGACAAAGUGACAGGUGGUGCAUGGUUGUCGUCAGCUCGUGUCGUGAGAUGUUGGGUUAAGUCCCGCAACGAGCGCAACCCUUAAGCUUAGUUGCCAUCAUUAAGUUGGGCACUCUAAGUUGACUGCCGGUGACAAACCGGAGGAAGGUGGGGAUGACGUCAAAUCAUCAUGCCCCUUAUGAUUUGGGCUACACACGUGCUACAAUGGACAAUACAAAGGGCAGCGAAACCGCGAGGUCAAGCAAAUCCCAUAAAGUUGUUCUCAGUUCGGAUUGUAGUCUGCAACUCGACUACAUGAAGCUGGAAUCGCUAGUAAUCGUAGAUCAGCAUGCUACGGUGAAUACGUUCCCGGGUCU